rnacentral:lncRNA from 1 species
GCUGACUGAUCAAAAUAGUAGGAGAUGCUUGUAGCUGCAAUUCAGUUCUUUUCAUUCCGCUGUUCAGUGGAAACGCUGUCAACUCCCCGAUUGCUGGGAACCAGCCUGCAGAAGGAGGACAAGAAUGAAGGGAGAGGGAAAUCGCCGCUUUCCCUGUCCUGCUUCCUCCUUGAAACUCAGUGUCAGAUCUCCAGUGAUUUAAUAUUUUGGGGAGGCCUCAGCGGCCGGAAGGAAGCGCUCUUCUAAAUAUCACCCUGGCACCUUCCGGACCCUCGGUGAGAGGACAGCGACAUCGGCCGAGACCCGGCGAGGGACGGCGCCCAAAUUAGCGGAGGAACCUCGCGAAGAAAAGAGGGGAGAAAAGGGGGAAAAGCUUGGGGUGGGGAGCUAAAUGGGAAGAGAAGGGGAGGGAGGAAAAAGGAGGUGAUUGCAAGGAAAAUUAAUGCAAGUCUGAAGCUUAUGGCUGCCUGAACAGAGAAUGCUGAGGGAUUUUGAGUGGUCACUGGAGCAGCAAUGAGUGACAGGCUCCCUCUAAGCUUUUUAAAAAGUACUGCUUUAUUCCUUGAAAACCUUGCAGAUUUCAAACCGAGCCCCCUUCCUCCCUCCCCCGCUCCCCCACCUCCACUUAAUACUCACCGAUGCUCAGCUUUGGGUGCGCUCCCCUCCUCCCCUACUCAAAAAAAGUGAGAAAUGUCGUCUUUUUUGUUGUUGUUUUCCUAUUCCAAAAAAUAUAGACCAGAGAAAAAUAAGACGGGCUUAAUCGCGUGAUGGGCUGGAAAGGCACAUUUUAUAAAUGUUUAAUGUUUUCACACCCGGAUGCUACAAGACGCUGUAAUUGUGACGGUGGGGUAUGUAUGCAAUAAAUCAUUUAGUUCCUAAUAAAAAUUCUGCCUGUUUGUCUUGAGUUUGCCAAUGGCGCUUGCAUUUUUCAAGUGUGUUUCUCAUCAGUCGGCAAAGAGAAUCUGCAUUUCAUUAAACCUGCAAUUUCUCUGUUGAUCAAUCUCUUUUCUUCCCCCCACCCCUCCCGUCUUUUGUCACUGCCCCAAACCCCCCAAAAGCUUUGAGAGAGAUUCAGGGAAGCGGCCCCUUCCUAACUCCCUGAGAGCCAGAAGAACCAAGGAAUUAUUUUUAAGAGCAUUUUUAUGUAAUCAAAUCGUUGCCUAGACGAAGGACUGGAGAAGCUGUUACCAAGGGAGGGGGUGAAGGGGGUGGGGGGAAAACGCCAAGUGGAUCCUGUUAACGUUGGCUUCUUUCAGCAGUAAACAAGUUGGCGGGCGUGUUUAUAUAGGGUAUAAAUGUGUGUGUGUGUGCGUGUGUGUGUAUAAAUGUGUGUUAGACCUAGAUCGGGCUCUCUCUAAUGAAAUGCGGCCUUAUUUUGAAGCCAAUGUUUAAUUGCCUUGAUCUUUGCCACCGAUAGCGGAGUCACGACUGGAGCCUCGUCCUCUCCCCUCCUCCUCCUCUCUCCUUUUGGUGCAGUCUGCUUGGUAAACAGCAGCUGGGAGCCAUCUUGUCGGGUUGGGUGGAGAGCUGGAGUCAGUAGCUUUGGGGAAAGACUGCUAAAAAGAAUGAUCUUGUCCUUGUGAUUUUUUUUUAACGUGUGUAUGGGGGGGGACUCUCGCGUGUAACGAACCAGGUUAGAGCGGCGAUUAAUAAUUUAAACACACUGACAUUUGCAGUCCGGACUACCCAGCUGCUUCCCUCCCUUCUACUAGCGUUGGCAGUUAUUAUUUUGGCUUGAGUCGCUGGAUUUUUCUCCCCCCCCUUUACCCUGUAACAGUGUGUGUGUGUGUGUGCCCUUUCCAUCCUCCUCUUUCCUCCCGCGCCCGGAGGUUAAAUUUAAAAUAGAUUUUGCAGAUUUUUUUGCUCCCUCUCCUUCCCCAGCACUUGGGGAUGGACGGAGCCUGGGUCUUGCUUAUUCCUUCUCCCGGUCGAUUUGAAACCAGCCAUUUUUCCCUCCCCUCCCCGCUUUUCAGGAGGCUCUGAAUCUCUCGGCCCUCCUCCCCCCGGCUCACACGCACGCAUUCCCUUUUCUUGGGGCGGGGAGAAGUUGGAGGCGGGGGGGGGGGAGGGGGGGCGGAGAAAAGAUGUGGUUUAAAACUUUUUUUUAUUGACUCUAUGGAAACUCAAUUGGGCUCGGCUGGCUGAUUUUUUUCGCAGAGCUAAACCGGAGCUCACCAGGGGGAAAGGAAAAAAAAAGAAGAAGCAGCGACUCGCCCUUUCAGAUCGUGGUCGCCCUCGCCAAAUAAAGUGGACCGAAUGAAAACGCGUUGGAGAAAUCCCGACACCCCCCCCCCCCCCCCAACACACACACACUCACACAUCUUUCCCAGGCUGCGUUAAUUAGAUUAGGUUUUCUUUUGUUUUGCUAUUGACGGUUGGGUACAGUAAGGAUCCGGGGUGCCCUUUCCUGGCCGAAUGUAUCACAAACACGUAACAAUGCCCAACUGGCUUGACAAAAUACUUUUCUUUUUUUCUUUUUAAUCUAAGGACAAUCCAACCUUGAGGCUUUUACACACGCACACUCCCCCCCCCCCCCCCCCCCCCCCGCGCCUUCCCGUAUCCAGAAAGUGUCUCCCAGUUUUGUCGAAGGAAACGCGCCCUGCUUCCUCUUGUCCCUCCCGGCCGGUCCUGGGACGCGAUAGGGAUCUCCCGCCGCCGGACCCCCCCAUCCCACCCGGCCCUUUUAAUCACCUUGCAAGGAAGAAAUUGAAUAGGAGCCCCUUCCUCGCCCGCCCCGGCUACCCACCCGAGCCCGG